rnacentral:rRNA from 1 species
UACGUAGGGUGCAAGCGUUAAUCGGAAUUACUGGGCGUAAAGCGUGCGCAGGCGGUUGUGCAAGACAGAUGGUGAAAUCCCCGGGCUCAACCUGGGAACUGCAUUUGUGACUGCACGGCUGGAGUGCGGCAGAGGGGGAUGGAAUUCCGCGUGUAGCAGUGAAAUGCGUAGAUAUCGAGAGGAACACCAAUGGCGAAGGCAG